rnacentral:rRNA from 1 species
GCUUUAGCCAGCUAGGGGAACCUGUCCUUUAAUUCGAUAGUCCACGAAAAUCUUACCUAUUUUAGUUAUCAGUUUGUAUACCGUCGUCGAAAGCUAGCACCAAAAGGGGUCAGAAGCUAGCAAAAAAGAUUUUUCUCUUAGAAGUCAGAUCAAGGUACAGCUUAUAAGUAGGGAGGAGAUGGGUUACAAUUAAUAAAUUCUAUUGGAGUCCUAAUGAAAUUUAGUUGAUAGAAAGAGGACUUAGAAGUAAUUUCUUAAUUAAGGUUAAGAGGUGAAAUAGGCUCUAGAGCGUGU